UUGUCCGGUGCAUGUCUCCAAAAAGCCACAGCCACAGCCACAGCCCUUGUUCUUGCUUACCGUUGUAAUCCCUCCCUCCCUCUCUCUCCGGGCGCGCGCGGGCGCUCGAAGAGGAUCGAUUCAUUUUGAUUUUUCUUGAUUCUUCAUUGAUGGAGACGAAACCCAGAAGCGGGAAGACAGAAGUCAAGAAAGAGUCAAUACGGGGGCCUUCCAAACCAGCAGACUUGUCCACAGACCAGAGAAGCGGCAAGAAAUUGAUGAUUGAAGGAUACCCAGUUGAGGGAUUGUCGAUUGCAGGCCAUGAAACGUGCGUGAUUUUGCCGUCCCUGAAGUUGGCCUUCGAUAUCGGUCGGUGCCCACAACGCGCCAUCUCUCAAGACUUCCUCUUCAUCUCCCACGCUCACAUGGAUCAUAUCGGAGGAGUUGCCAUGUAUGUUGCAAGUCGUGGAUUGUUUUCUUUGAAGCCCCCAACAGUAGUAGUGCCUAAAUGUGUAAAAGAAGAUGUUGAGAGACUCUUUGAGGUUCACAGAAAGAUGGACAAUUCAAAAUUGAAGCAUAAUUUAAUCGGCAUGGAUAUCAUACCACCUAUGCAUGCAGGAGAAGAGAUUUAUGUAAGGAGAGAUGUUAAAGUACGAGCUUUUAGGACUUAUCAUGUCAUACCAAGCCAGGGUUAUGUAGUUUACUCAGUGAAAGAGAAACUUAAGCAGGAGUAUUUGAGCCUUCCUGGGAAUGAGAUCAGGGAUCUCAAGCUAUCUGGCGUGGAGAUCACAUACACCACAACGGCACCCGAAGUUGCUUUUACUGGAGAUACCACUUCUGAUUUUAUACAUGAUGAAAAUAAUGCUGAUGUUUUGAGGGCAAAGAUUCUUAUUAUGGAGGUAGACUACGAAACAUAACACGGUGUGCGAUCGCUCAUGUGGAUAGGCUUCAGUCUCUCCAAUGAAGACAUUGCAACAAGAAACAACCAUAGCCAUGUGGUCUCUGUUUCUUAUUUUGAAAUUUGAAUUUGUUAAGAGGCUGCACACUUGAGUUUUAUUCACAAUAUUAAGGGUUCAUCUUGUCUCUGUUCUGUCACUUUUUUUUUUUAUCAUCGAUCUCUUUUCUACGAUCAAUGACCGAGCAGGUGCAGUUAUGUUUACACCCCUGUGUUUGCUUGUAGUCUUCUUUUGUAAGAAGAACAACCUAAAAUAGGUCAUUCGAAGAAGGGGAACAUCAACUUACAAUUAACACGAAUCAGAUUUUGAUUGCGUUUACUUAAAACAUGCAUAUGCAAAAUUUCAGUAUGCACAACCAAUAAUAGAAAAAGUAAUGCUACUCUAGUUUUGAGUGUUUGACGAGGGGUAAGAGAACUUUGAGUAGCAUAAGCUACCCUGCAUGCAUACAGCUUUGGAUGUAAGCUGUGUUUUUGCACUGAAGUGAUAGUAAUCCAGUCCUAGUAAUUCAUUUAGAGUGUUUGAAGACAAAACAAAUGGAAGUGAUAAAUCUCAUUUCUUGUGCCUAAUUAGCUGCCGGAGUGAGUGUGUAUGAGGGACGGCAUUUUUAAGCUUCCAGGAAGAAGUACUGUGCUUAAUGGCGUAUGAUUUGACAUCCAUUUUGCUAUAUCUACAGUCAGAAUAAGAGCACCUUUGUUGAUGACAAGGUGACAGUAGAACAUGCCAAGGAGUAUGGGCAUACUCAUC